CUGUGAGGGUUCGGUGUCUGCAGCGGGGCGUGAUGCUGCACCACGCGUACAGAAGCAGAAAGCUACACCAGAGCUACAACUUGGCUCUUCUGGCAAUGCAUAGCCAGACCUCUUCAGGAUCAGAGCUGGACAAGGAAGCGAUCAAAAGCAGCAAACAAACCUAAAUUAAAAUUGGAAUGAUGAAGCCUAUAAGACUUUGCGUUAAUCCUGCAUGUUGUGCCUCCAGACAUCUGUCAGCCCCCAUAUACAGCCAAUUCUCAGGGCUAGCUGUGGAUAGAGGAAGAAAUGUGCCACUUUACAAAUACUGCCAGCAAGAGCCUUGGAAUUAUCUUCUACAAGGACAAAAACAUGAGAGGUCAUUACUGGCAGUGAGUUGGCACUUAGUGAUGGUGAACUCUGUACUAACUUCUGCCACAGAGAAUCAGAGACAUUUGGCAGAAUCACCAAGGUUGGAAAAGACCUCCAAGAUCCUCUAGUCCAACUAUCCACCUACAACUGCUGGGUGAGAACAGGCAAUAAUUUGAAUUGUAUGAGGUUAACUGCUAGACAAUAACACAUGUAAUCAUUACUAUGGUUGUUAUAUGCCUUGUCAAUGGUAUUACAGUAAGAAUCACCCAGACUAAAGAAGAAAGAGUUCUGAUGGAAGCAGAACUAACUUCAGCAAGCAGUAAUCCAACACCAUGCAUCACCCCUUUCACACUGAAGGACUGUUAUAACAAGAUGGUGUCGAAAGUCAUAGACUAAAUUAACUCCAUGUACAAUUUACUGGGAUGGCCUCCCACUGGGAGGGGGAAGGGAAGUAAGCAAAAGGCUGCUUGGUGUUAAGCUGCUUGCUGGGUUAAACCACAACAGCACAUUGGAAGAAACAUACUAUCACAUGCAGUCAGCUGAAUUUACCCAGAGCUGGAAUGAGACAGGAAAAAAAAACCAUCAUUAUGGUGGUGUACGCAUCUGAGGCCAGUAACACCAAGCCAGACUAGGGGUCCCAACACUGAGGAAGCCCUUCGUGUUGAUACCUCCAGCCACAGGAAAAGGCAGUGCCUGCUUAAGUCCAGAAAGUAAAACAUUUCUGCAUUAUGGGAAGGUUUGCCCAUAGGAAAACCGAUUUGAACUCCAGAUGACAGAACUGCCUGUUCAGUAAGUCAGGAUCAAGGGCAAUGCUGUUAUCCUUCAUGUCCACUGUGACCCUCACAUUAGGACCUCCAGUCUCAGGGCAGGAUGAAGAAUAAAACUGAAUGCUAAUACUCUAAAAUGAAGUGAAAAAUCAUUUAAAAAUUCAACAUUUUCUUUUUCCUUGCCCUGCUAGCCUUCCCC
ensembl:lncRNA